rfam:Oryza sativa Indica Group chromosome 7 Ctg021081, whole genome shotgun sequence.
UAAGUUUCUGUUUUGUGUGUAGGCUGAAAAAGCUCGGAGAUUGUGUGUUGACAUCAGCUUCGUCUCUUUAUGUCUGUGAGAUGGGAGUUAAAUGACAGCACGAAAUUC